rnacentral:tRNA from 1 species
GGCCGGUUGGUCAAGGGGUUAAGACGCCGCCCUCUCACGGCGGAAUCAAGGGUUCGAUUCCCUUAUCGGCUA